UCUCCCUCCAUGACAACCCUCAACCCCCUCUCCCCCACCUGUUACUUCUUGGGGCACGUUCAUGUAGAAUAAGGAGUCAUGUCUGCUCUAUUCAUGGUAUUUCUAUCUGGCUACUGAACCUGGCCCCGUUAAGGCGCUCUAACGGUGUGUGGAUUUAGCCUGAUCCCAGAUCUGUUUGUGCUUUUCUUCAUAACCAACUAGAACGGUCAAUGACCAUAGGAGUUGACAAGACAGCCCUAACAGAUCUGGGACCAGGCUAGAUAAUGACCAUAGGAGUUGACAAGACAGCCCUAACAGAUCUGGGACCAGGCUAGAUAAUGACCAUAGGAGUUGACAAGACAGCUCUAACAGAUCUGGGACCAGGCUAGAUAAUGACAAGACAGCCCUAACAGAUCUGGGACCAGGCUAGAUAAUGACAAGACAGCCCUAACAGAUCUGGGACCAGGCUAGAUAAUGACCAUAGGAGUUGACAAGACAGCCCUAACAGAUCUGGGACCAGGCUAGAUAAUGACAAGACAGCCCUAACAGAUCUGGGACCAGGCUAGAUAAUGACAAGACAGCCCUAACAGAUCUGGGACCAGGCUAGGUAAUGACCAUAGGAGUUGACAAGACAGCUCUAACAGAUCUGGGACCAGGCUAGAUAAUGACAAGACAGCCCUAACAGAUCUGGGACCAGGCUAGGUAAUGACCAUAGGAGUUGACAAAACAGCCCUAACAGAUCUGGGACCAGGCUAGAUAAUGACCAUAGGAGUUGACAAGACAGCUCUAACAGAUCUGGGACCAGGCUAGUGUUGCUUUGGAAACGCUGUGAUCAUAUUAACUGUGAAGUUAGCCCAUUGUUACGUCCUUAUGUCUGUUUUUACUUGAAGCAAGGAUACAUCCCAAAUGGCACCCUAUUCCCUAUGGGCCCUGUUUAAACAGUGCACUAUAAAGGGAAUGGCUCCCUAUGGGCCCUGUUUAAACAUAAAGGGAAUGGCUCCCUAUGGGCCCUGUUUAAACAGUGCACUAUAAAGGGAAUGGCUCCCUACGGGCCCUGUUUAAACAGUGCACUAUAAAGGGAAUGGCUCCCUACGGGCCCUGUUUAAACAGUGCACUAUAAAGGGAAUAGCUCCCUACGGGCCCUGUUUAAACAGUGCACUAUAAAUGGAAGCGGGUGCCAUUUGAGAUGGAACCCAAGACGACGUGUAAAGUUGAAGUAUGAUCUGAUUAGUGUGAACUAAGUAUAUAGCUUUUUGUGAUUGUAUUUCCACAUUAGAAGUGCAUUUUUGUUUUUCCCCAUCUCGAAGAAUGUGACGUUUUCAGUGGCAUUAAGUUUGUAAUAAAUGGAACAAAUAUACAAGGACCAUGAACUUUACAGAUCUUAUCAAGUGAAUUACUAUAUGCAGUAAAAAAAAAUAAAAAAAUAAAGUAGUUUUAAAAGAAAUGUUGGAACAUAGUUUGAAGCACCAUGUCCAAUGUAGAGAAAUGUUCUGUGUGUGUAGAACACGGGUGUAUUCAUUCCGCUGAUUCUGUUGCAAAACGUUUUCGACCUGCCUGAAUUUGUCCAAUAGAAACUGUUUGUUUUUCCCCGUCCAUUUCAAUUCAGGCGGUAAAAAUGAAAUAGCAAAUUUUCCUUCAUUUUUAAAACCAGGAUAAUUGAAAUGUCAAUCCCAACCCUGACAGAAUUACAGCCAUGUCUUUGUGUGUAGCGAUUUAAAAAGGAAAAAGAUUCACUCAUUUUUUAAUGUCAUUGUUCUUGUGCAUCUCUGAACGAUGUUCGUAUCGGAGUUAUUGAAACAGGAGAAAUACGGCUGGUAUGACAAGUUGAGUCAGAACAUCACUCAGAUGCAAAAAAGAACACUCAAAAUGGGUGAAUCUUUCCUUUAAGUUUGUUUUAUAUGGGACAAACAUACAAGGACAGUGAAUUAUCACUACCUACAUUAGUCCCUGAGUGUAACUAUUGUUCUUAUGCAGUGGUUUCAGAAUUGCCUUAAGUCUUUUGAAAUAAACAUGGACUUUGUUCACUCAGUGUGA